rnacentral:rRNA from 1 species
AUUGAACGCUGGCGGCAUGCUUUACACAUGCAAGUCGAACGGCAGCGCGGGCUUCGGCCUGGCGGCGAGUGGCGAACGGGUGAGUAAUGCAUCGGAACGUGCCCAGUAGUGGGGGAUAGCCCGGCGAAAGCCGGAUUAAUACCGCAUACGACCUGAGGGUGAAAGCGGGGGACCGAAAGGCCUCGCGCUAUUGGAGCGGCCGAUGUCGGAUUAGCUAGUUGGUGGGGUAAGGCUUACCAAGGCGACCAUCCGUAGCUGGUCUGAGAGGACGACCAGCCACACUGGGACUGAGACACGGCCCAGACUCCUACGGGAGGCAGCAGUGGGGAAUUUUGGACAAUGGGGGCAACCCUGAUCCAGCCAUGCCGCGUGCGGGAAGAAGGCCUUCGGGUUGUAAACCGCUUUUGUUCGGGAAGAAAUCCUCUGGGCUAAUACCCCGGGGGGAUGACGGUACCGGAAGAAUAAGCACCGGCUAACUACGUG